GGCAUGGACCCAAUCUAUUCUGCUGGAUCUGAACCCAUCAUGGUCAACAGACUCUUUUGCUGGGUCUCCAUUUUUCUUCUUGGAUCAGCUCCCACUGAAGCAGGAAUCACUCAGACACCCAGACACCUGGUCACAAAGAUGAAGCAGGAGGUGACACUGAGAUGUGAACAAAAUUUAGGCCAUAAUGACAUGUAUUGGUACCAACAGGAGCCACGGAAAGGACCCAAGAUAAUGUUUUCUUAUAAUUAUGAUGAAAUGAAUGUAAAUGAGACUGUUCCUCCGCAAUUCAAGCCUACAAAAGUCAACAAUCACUUGACCCUGAGCAUCCACUCUGUGGAAGCAGAAGACUCAGCCAUCUACCUCUGUAGUAGCAGUAGAGACACAGCCUUGCAGAGAGUCAUCUCCAAGCUGUGCAGAAACCUGCUGUCCCCAGCAUAG